UACGGGGGGGGCAAGCGUUGUCCGGAAUUACUGGGCGUAAAGGGCUCGUAGGUGGCCAACUAAGUCAGACGUGAAAUCCCUCGGCUUAACCGGGGAACUGCGUCUGAUACUGGAUGGCUUGAGUUUGGGAGAGGGACGCGGAAUUCCAGGUGUAGCGGUGAAAUGCGUAGAUAUCUGGAGGAACACCGGUGGCGAAGGCGGCGUCCUGGACCAACACUGACACUGAGGAGCGAAAGCCAGGGGAGCAAACGGG
rnacentral:rRNA from 1 species